rnacentral:rRNA from 1 species
GACGAACGCUGGCGGCGUGCUUAACACAUGCAAGUCGAACGGUGAAGCGCCUUCCUUUUUGGUGGGUGUGGAUGAGUGGCGAACGGGUGAGUAACACGUGAGUAACCUGCCCCCUUCUUCUGGAUAACCGCAUGAAAGUGUGGCUAAUACGGGAUAUUCUGGGUCUGUCGCAUGAUGGGUCUGGGAAAGAUAUUGUUUCGGUGGGGGAUGGGCUCGCGGCCUAUCAGCUUGUUGGUGGGGUGAUGGCCUACCAAGGCGGUGACGGGUAGCCGGCCUGAGAGGGUGGACGGUCACACUGGGCUGAGACACGGCCCAGACUCCUACGGGAGGCAGCAGUGGGGAAUAUUGCACAAUGGGCGCAAGCCUGAUGCAGCGACGCCGCGUGAGGGAUGGAGGCCUUCGGGUUGUGAACCUCUUUCGCCAGUGAAGCAGGCCUGCCUCGUUUGUGGGUGGGUUGACGGUAGCUGGAUAAGAAGCGCCGGCUAACUACGUG